rnacentral:rRNA from 1 species
GACGUAGGGGGCAAGCGUUGUCCGGAAUUAUUGGGCGUAAAGCGCUCGUAGGCGGAUCGGUAAGUCUGUGAAGAAAGACCCGGGCUCAACUCGGGGAACGGCAUAGAUACUGCUGAUCUUGAGACAGUCAGAGGAUGAUGGAAUUCCAGGUGUAGCGGUGAAAUGCGUAGAUAUCAGGAGGAACACCGAUGGCGAAGGCGGGUCUCUGGGCCGUUACUGACGCUGAGGAGCGAAAGCGUGGGGAGCGAACAGG